GAUGAACGCUGACAGAAUGCUUAACACAUGCAAGUCUUUGGCGAAGCUGUGCUUGCACAGCCUAGCCAAGGCGGACGGGUGAGUAACGCGUAAGGAACUUGCCCUGCAGUCAGGGAUAACAGACGGAAACGACUGAUAAGACCUGGUAAAGUCAGGCGGACUCAUGUCCAGCCUGAUGAAAAGAGAUGCUGCAGGAGAGCCUUGCGUCCUAUUAGCUUGUUGGUGGGGUAACGGCCCACCAAGGCAAUGAUAGGUAGCCGGCCUGAGAGGGUGGACGGCCACAAGGGGACUGAGAUACGGCCCUUACUCCUACGGGAGGCAGCAGUGGGGAAUAUUGGACAAUGGGGGCAACCCUGAUCCAGCAAUUCUGUGUGCACGGUGAAGGUUUUCGGAUUGUAAAGUGCUUUCAGCAGGGAAGAAAAAAAUGACGGUACCUGCAGAAGAAGCGACGGCUAAAUACGUGCCAGCAGCCGCGGUAAUACGUAUGUCGCAAGCGUUAUCCGGAAUUAUUGGGCAUAAAGGGCAUCUAGGCGGCCAGAUAAGUCUGGGGUGAAAACUUGCGGCUCAACCGCAAGCCUGCCCUGGAAACUAUGUGGCUAGAGUACUGGAGAGGUGGACGGAACUGCACGAGUAGAGGUGAAAUUCGUAGAUAUGUGCAGGAAUGCCGAUGAUGAAGAUAGUUCACUGGACGGUAACUGACGCUGAAGUGCGAAAGCUAGGGGAGCAAACAGG
rnacentral:rRNA from 1 species